CAAGGACCACAACAACAGCAGCAGCAGCAACAACAACACCACCACCACUACCACCACCAACAAGUUUAUGGACAACACCAUCUACACCUACUGGAAAUCCUUUCAUUAGAAAACUGGUACAAGGGCUGCUGGCAGUAGCAGGUGUUGUGGUGGUUAUUACAAUAAUAGUGGUUUCAUUUUCCAUUUAUAAGAAGAAACGGAGGACCGCAACUACGAGGACACAAAAUGAUGACCUAAAUACCAGUGAAGAAAAUGCAAAGACGUCCAGGAGAACAGAAGAUGAAUCAGAUUGCAC